rnacentral:rRNA from 1 species
AGAGUUUGAUCAUGGCUCAGAAUCAACGCUGGCGGCGUGCCUCAGACAUGCAAGUCGAACGAUUAAACUCUUCUUCGGAAGAGAUAUAGAGUGGCGCACGGGUGAGUAACACGUGGGUAAUUUACCUCUGGGUGGGGAAUAACCAUCGGAAACGAUGGCUAAUACCGCAUAAUGCAGCGGCACCGCAAGGUGACAGUUGUUAAAGCUUUAGUGCCUGGAGAGAAGCCCGCGGCAGAUUAGCUAGUUGGUAAGGUAAUGGCUUACCAAGGCAACGAUCUGUAUCCGGUCUUAGAGGACGGUCGGACACACUGACACUGAAUAACGGGUCAGACUCCUACGGGAGGCAGCAGUCGGGAAUUUUGGGCAAUGGGCGAAAGCCUGACCCAGCAACGCCGCGUGAAGGAUGAAGUAUCUCGGUAUGUAAACUUCGGAAGAAUGGAAAGAAUAAAUGACGGUACCAUUUUUAAGCCCCGGCUAACUCCGUGCCAGCAGCCGCGGUAAUACGGGGGGGGCAAGCGUUGUUCGGAUUUACUGGGCGUAAAGGGCGCGUAGGCGGCGUGACAAGUCACUUGUGAAAUCUCCGGGCUUAACUCGGAACGGUCAAGUGAUACUGUCGUGCUAGAGUGCAGAAGGGGCAAUCGGAAUUCUUGGUGUAGCGGUGAAAUGCGUAGAUAUCAAGAGGAACACCAGAGGCGAAGGCGGAUUGCUGGGCUGACACUGACGCUGAGGCGCGAAAGCUAGGGUAGCAAACGGGAUUAGAUACCCCCGUAGUCC